AAAAAAGAAGCUAGACAAAGCUCAAGCUAUUGUAAGCCAUCAUCAUUCUAAUAAAAUUCCUUUCUCCUACCCACUUUGUCCACCAAAUUACUUUCUACCAAAAUCUUCCAAACUAUUAACUUUCAAUAAAAAGCCAACUAUUUUUUUCCUCCAAAAUUAUUCCAUACAAAACAUCCUCAAUCAUCCUAUCUCAUCACUACAACAACACAAAAACUAUCAGUGGUAUCAGAGCCACGUUCGAUUGAUAUUGGGCGUACGCAUAUAUGAUGGCAGACGCUUUCCGCUCAUCAAUUCCUAUCCCAACAUUUAAUGGGGAUAACUAUGAUUUUUAGUCUAUCAAAAUGAAGACCUACUUUUGUGCUCAAAAUUUAUGGGAUGUCGUCAACGAUGGGUAUACUAACCCAGAUGACAUUUCCAC
rnacentral:lncRNA from 1 species